UACGUAGGGUGCUAGCGUUGUUCGGAAUCAUUGGGCGUAAAGCGCGUGUAGGCUGUUGGAUAAGUUGGAUGUGAAAUCCCUGGGCUCAACCGAGGAAGUGCAUUCAAAACUAUCCGGCUAGAAGACGGUAGAGGAAGGUGGAAUUCCAAGUGUAGAGGUGAAAUUCGUAGAUAUUUGGAGGAAUACCUGUGGCGAAGGCGGCCUUCUGGGCCGAUCUUGACGCUGAGACGCGAAAGCGUGGGGAGCAAACAGG
rnacentral:rRNA from 1 species